rnacentral:tRNA from 1 species
AGCCUUAUAGUCAAGAAAUGAUAUUAGACUGCAAUUCUGAAGGGGUAGAGUAGACUUUACUAAGGCUU